GACGAACGCUGGCGGCGUGCUUAACACAUGCAAGUCGAACGGAAAGGCCCUGCUUUUGUGGGGUGCUCGAGUGGCGAACGGGUGAGUAACACGUGAGUAACCUGCCCUUGACUUUGGGAUAACUUCAGGAAACUGGGGCUAAUACCGGAUAGGAGCUCCUGCUGCAUGGUGGGGGUUGGAAAGUUUCGGCGGUUGGGGGUGGACUCGCGGCUUAUCAGCUUGUUGGUGGGGUAGUGGCUUACCAAGGCUUUGACGGGUAGCCGGCCUGAGAGGGUGACCGGCCACAUUGGGACUGAGAUACGGCCCAGACUCCUACGGGAAGCAGCAGUGGGGAAUAUUGCACAAUGGGCGGAAGCCUGAUGCAGCAACGCCGCGUGCGGGAUGACGGCCUUCGGGUUGUAAACCGCUUUCGCCUGUGACGAAGCGUGAGUGACGGUAAUGGGUAAAGAAGCACCGGCUAACUACGUG
rnacentral:rRNA from 1 species